UACGAGAGGCCCAAACGUUAUUCGGAAUUACUGGGCUUAAAGAGUUCGUAGGCGGCAUUGCAAGUAGGGUGUGAAGGCCCUCGGCUCAACCGAGGAAUUGCGCUCUAAACUGCAGUGCUCGAGGAACCUAGAGGUGAGCAGAACAGAUGGUGGAGCGGUGAAAUGCGUUGAUAUCAUCUGGAAUACCGGAGGCGAAGGCGGCUCACUGGGGGUUUUCUGACGCUGAGGAACGAAAGCCAGGGUAGCGAACGGG
rnacentral:rRNA from 1 species